rnacentral:rRNA from 1 species
GAUGAACGCUGGCGGCGUGCCUAAUACAUGCAAGUCGAGCGAACGGACGAGAAGCUUGCUUCUCUGAUGUUAGCGGCGGACGGGUGAGUAACACGUGGAUAACCUACCUAUAAGACUGGGAUAACUUCGGGAAACCGGAGCUAAUACCGGAUAAUAUUUUGAACCGCAUGGUUCAAAAGUGAAAGACGGUCUUGCUGUCACUUAUAGAUGGAUCCGCGCUGCAUUAGCUAGUUGGUAAGGUAACGGCUUACCAAGGCAACGAUGCAUAGCCGACCUGAGAGGGUGAUCGGCCACACUGGAACUGAGACACGGUCCAGACUCCUACGGGAGGCAGCAGUAGGGAAUCUUGCGCAAGGGGCGAAAGCCUGACGGAGCAACGCCGCGUGAGUGAUGAAGGUCUUCGGAUCGUAAAACUCUGUUAUUAGGGAAGAACAUAUGUGUAAGUAACUGUGCACAUCUUGACGGUACCUAAUCAGAAAGCCACGGCUAACUACGUG